rnacentral:lncRNA from 1 species
AUGACUCAUACUUGGAUGGGGGAGGAGGAAAGACAACUGCUCCUAAGACCUGAGAUGAACACAGAAGUGGUGGGAAGCCUGGCAGCCAAAGGGAAAAAGCAAAGACACAUGGAAGUGUUCUCUGAGUGUGGGAGCAGACAGGAUCCAGGGCAGACAGGACAGCAACCAGGGUGCUGGUUUGAAUAUCUGCUGAGUCUCUGACCCCUUGUGCUCAUGACUGAAGGACAAAGGAGAAGCUAUCUAGAAGCUGUCUAGAGACGUUUUCUGUAGAAGAGGCACUUUCACAGCUAUAAUCAUGACAAAAGUCAAUAUAUAUGUAUAGUUGUGGAAAUAAUUUUAAUUUCAGAGCCUUUCAGAGUCUUUAUAUGUCCCUGAUACACACUGUCAGACUGCACUGAGGUAAAAUUUUGAGCCAAAACCCAUGCAUUGCUCUGCCAACCUCAUGUGAGCAGUGACUGUGUCUCUACCUUUUCUUGCUGGCAUUGCCAAAUGUUUAUAGCUUGGUUGAAGGUCCCUACUCCCACUGGGACAAUCCCUCCCCUCCAAGCCCUGCACUGGCAGUCAGCUGUUGGAAGGCACCUACCUGAGACAUAAAAAUGAACCACAGCUCUCUCACGUGCCAUAUUGACAUAAAACAAAGCAGCCACAGGACACAGCUGCAUGAGUCUCAAGAAAUGGGAUUUCUGUAAAUACCUUCCAAGUUCCACAUCUUUGGAAAACAAAAACAAAGCAAAACAAUGAAGCAAAACAAAACAAAAACAAAACAAGCAAUAACAACAACAAACAACUGGAAUCUUUCUUUAUUCUCCUACGUAUUCACUAAGUCAAUAUUUACUUCCUUCAAGUAAGUAAGGUUUACAUGGAUGAACUGAUGGGAGAAAUUGGAGCUUUAUCUUUGUAGCAACACAAAAUAUGUAAACUAGAGUACAUAACCUUUCUUACUCCCACCUUCAUGGUAAAAAAAGGUACUAAAUAUAAGGUCAGGAUUAUAAUUGAAACCUUUUGACCCUUUUUCUUCUCUGAAAAAACGAGUCACUUUCUUUUCUUUUUGUUAUUUUAAUCUUGCAGAUUAAAAGAUGAGAAGAUAAAGAUCUGCAGUAAAAUGGGGAUUAGGAUUAGUGAAGUAAAGAUUAGGAUUUUUCACCUUGCAAGAAAGCUUGCAAUCCUGGUGAGAAAUCUUUUGAAAUUGUCUCCAUUUGAGUUAUUAUUUUGACACCGGGAUUGGCUUUUCAAAGGAUGAACACAGAGAGCCAAUAAAAUUAAUUUCCCAAUGUCA